rnacentral:rRNA from 1 species
AUUGAACGCUGGCGGCAGGCCUAACACAUGCAAGUCGAACGGUAACAGGAAGAAGCUUGCUUCUUUGCUGACGAGUGGCGGACGGGUGAGUAAUGUCUGGGAAACUGCCUGAUGGAGGGGGAUAACUACUGGAAACGGUAGCUAAUACCGCAUAAUGUCGCAAGACCAAAAAGGGGGACCUUCGGGCCUCUUGCCAUCGGAUGUGCCCAGAUGGGAUUAGCUAGUAGGUGGGGUAACGGCUCACCUAGGCGACGAUCCCUAGCUGGUCUGAGAGGAUGACCAGCCACACUGGAACUGAGACACGGUCCAGACUCCUACGGGAGGCAGCAGUGGGGAAUAUUGCACAAUGGGCGCAAGCCUGAUGCAGCCAUGCCGCGUGUAUGAAGAAGGCCUUCGGGUUGUAAAGUACUUUCAGCGGGGGGGAAGGGAGUAAAGUUAAUACCUUUGCUCAUUGACGUUACCCGCAGAAGAAGCACCGGCUAACUCCGUG